UGGUGGAGUUGAGGGAACUUCCAUACUUCCACACUUCCAUGUUUGCCUGUGUGGGUUGGAGUUCAGGAAGGAAGCAGUGCAGAAAUAAAUCAGAGCAAAGAAGACGAGAAACUUUAAAACGACGCCAAAGGGGGUGGAAGGGAAGAGUUAAAGCUACGAAAGAUCUCUCGGUAAACCAACUCUGCUGUGUUUCCAGCCAUCCACACUUUAUCUGGAGAUAAUGGCACGGUGGAAAGCGAACAAAAGAGCCCCCAAAAUAGCCAACAAACUACUCACCAAUCAGCCCUCCGACCAUGAACGAAAACGCCUGGAAUAAAAGCAAGAUAACUCCAACGAUCACCAACUUUUUGGUGCUCAUGUUCUCGAUAAUCGCCCCUGCCAUGUUUUCACGCGUAAAUCCGUCGUGCACAGCGGCGGAAAAGAGGAGGAAAGUUAAACGAAAGGGAAGAGAAAGGGAAGCGGCUGCAUCCAGGUAGAAGAGAGGAAGGAGUGAAGCAGGCAGAGCCUGCCUUUCUUCAAACCCGAGCUACAAGGGGAGGGACCACAUGACCACCGGGCAUCUGCCCCAUGGCACUGGUGGGGGACCUUUAAGAGCCAAAUUAGUGCACUAUUGCCCACAUAUACAGUAUAUACCGUUGUGUUGACGCAGAUCUCUGGCCUCCUGCUCUUUAUGAGCAACUCAAGAGCCUGAGACUGUAGAUGAGGGGUGGUGUUAAAGGGGAACUCCACUGGCUUUUCAAAAAUUCAGCAUAAUUAAGUGUUUAAGAGGUGAACAACGUCGUGCAGGGUGUUCGGUGUCAAGUGCUCCGUUCUGGAGAAAUGCAGCAGUUUAGAAUUGCUCACAGUGGUGGUGAUAGGAACCAGACGUCCGAAGCAUUUUUAGGAUUCAAAACUAAUGGCUUUGCUUUCUGAUUUGCUUAAUCAGAACACCCAAACGAGACCAGCUUUUUUUUUGUAUUUGGAAGGGCUUUAGAUCCCAUAAGAAAGCCAAAUGAACUUAGAAUCAGCCACUUAAAGCAUUAGGAUCCUUUACAUAGUGAUAGCAAUCCAGUAAAAAAAAAAAAAAAGGGCAAAAUGCAUUACAAAACCAUUAGGAAACAAUUGUUUUUCAGCAGGGCUCUAAA